rnacentral:rRNA from 1 species
UACCAGCUCUCCGAGUGGUAGGGAUGAUUAUUGGGCUUAAAGCGUUCGUAGCCGGCUUAGCAAGUCUCUUGUUAAAUUCAGCGACCUAAUCGUUGAGCCGCGGGAGAUACUACUAGGCUAGGAGGCGGGAGAGGCCGACGGUACUUCCGGGGUAGGGGUGAAAUCCUAUAAUCCCGGGAGGACCACCAGUGGCGAAGGCUGUCGGCUAGAACGCGCUCGACGGUGAGGGACGAAAGCUGGGGUAGCGAACCGGAUUAGAUACCCGGGUAGUCCCAGCUGUAAACGAUGCGGGCUAGGUGUUGGGGUGGCCACGAGCCACUUCAGUGCCGCAGGGAAGCCAUUAAGCCCGCCGCCUGGGGAGUACGGCCGCAAGGCUGAAACUUAAAGGAAUUGGCGGGGAGCACCACAAGGCGUGAAGCUUGCGGUUC